GUGUCAGCAGCCGCGGUAAUACGGAGGGUGCGAGCGUUAAUCGGAAUUACUGGGCGUAAAGGGUUCGUAGGUGGUUUGUUAAGUUGUCUGUGAAAUCCCCGGGCUUAACCUGGGCAGGUCAGACAAAACUGAUAGACUCGAGUAUGGGAGAGGGUAGUGGAAUUUCCGGUGUAGCGGUGAAAUGCGUAGAGAUCGGAAGGAACACCAGUGGCGAAGGCGGCUACCUGGCCUAAUACUGACACUGAGGAACGAAAGCGUGGGGAGCAAACAAGAUUAGAUACCCCAGUAGUCC
rnacentral:rRNA from 1 species